CAACUACUCCCUCUGUGCCAAAUUUCUUGUCUUAGAUUUGUGUAGAUACGGAUGUAUCUAAUACUAAAAUGUGACUUGAUACAUCUGUAUCUAGACAAAUCUAAGACAAGAAUUUUGGGACGGAGGGAGUACUUG
rfam:Triticum aestivum genome assembly, contig: Triticum_aestivum_CS42_TGACv1_scaffold_321376_4BL